GACGAACGCUGGCGGCGUGCUUAACACAUGCAAGUCGAACGGUGAAGCUCCAGCUUGCUGGAGUGGAUCAGUGGCGAACGGGUGAGUAACACGUGAGCAACCUGCCCCUGACUCUGGAAUAAGCGCUGGAAACGGCGUCUAAUACUGGAUACGAGAAGGGUCCGCAUGGGCACUUUCUGGAAAGUUUUUCGGUUGGGGAUGGGCUCGCGGCCUAUCAGCUUGUUGGUGAGGUAAUGGCUCACCAAGGCGACGACGGGUAGCCGGCCUGAGAGGGCGACCGGCCACACUGGGACUGAGACACGGCCCAGACUCCUACGGGAGGCAGCAGUGGGGAAUAUUGCACAAUGGGCGAAAGCCUGAUGCAGCGACGCCGCGUGAGGGAUGACGGCCUUCGGGUUGUGAACCUCUUUCAGCAGGGAAGAAGCGAAAGUGACGGUACCUGCAGAAGAAGCACCGGCUAACUACGUG
rnacentral:rRNA from 1 species